UCACCUCUGGCUUGGAGCAAUGGAGUCUGCCAUUUGUGGACUGAGACCUCUGAAACUGCAAGAAUCUUUGAUAAUUCCUCAAGCAUGCCUCCUGCAAGAUUUAACAUUAAAGUGCCACAUAGAACAAUCAUUAGCACAAGCCAGAUGUGUGCUAGAAGCCAUCUCAUACAUGGCCAUUCAUCUCUAGUGACCUGCCAUGCAGCUAUAGUGACAGGGCUGGGAUUUGAACACACAACUUGACAUCUGCAUCAAAGACUGCUCUCGAGACUGAAUGAGCAAGUGAAUGUCUGCACAGAGCUGCUGCUCAGUGAAAAAGAAAAAGGGAAAAAGAAAUUUCUGAGCUACAUGAGGUACUCUAAGAGGUGUUUAAAAUUUGAAGUUCCUGAUCUCAUCAUUACCUGUUGUAUCUAUGGAUUCAGGUGCCACACUGUACUCCAUAAAUAUGCACUAUUACAAUAUGCCAAUUGAAAAUUAAAAAAUAUUUCUUAGGAAAGUUCAUGUGCUGAAUAAAUUUAGUAGCAAAAUCCAGAUGUUUCAAAAUUUAGAAUUUUUUUUUUUGCCUAAUUAAA